rnacentral:rRNA from 1 species
ACGGAGCAACGCCGCGUGAGUGAUGAAGGUUUUCGGAUCGUAAAACUCUGUUGUUAGGGAAGAACAAGUACCGUUCGAAUAGGGCGGUACCUUGACGGUACCUAACCAGAAAGCCACGGCUAACUACGUGCCAGCAGCCGCGGUAAUACGUAGGUGGCAAGCGUUGUCCGGAAUUAUUGGGCGUAAAGCGCGCGCAGGCGGUUCCUUAAGUCUGAUGUGAAAGCCCACGGCUCAACCGUGGAGGGUCAUUGGAAACUGGGGAACUUGAGUGCAGAAGAGAAGAGCGGAAUUCCACGUGUAGCGGUGAAAUGCGUAGAGAUGUGGAGGAACACCAGUGGCGAAGGCGGCUCUUUGGUCUGUAACUGACGCUGAGGCGCGAAAGCGUGGGGAGCAAACAGGAUUAGAUACCCUGGUAGUCCACGCCGUAAACGAUGAGUGCUAAGUGUUAGAGGGUUUCCGCCCUUUAGUGCUGCAGCAAACGCAUUAAGCACUCCGCCUGGGGAGUACGGUCGCAAGACUGAAACUCAAAGGAAUCGACGGGGGCCCGCACAAGCGGUGGAGCAUGUGGUUUAAUUCGAUGCAAA